ACCUGGUGGCGAGCGGCGGACGGGUGAGUAAUGCCUAGGAAUCUGCCUGGUAGUGGGGGAUAACGCUCGGAAACGGACGCUAAUACCGCAUACGUCCUACGGGAGAAAGCAGGGGACCUUCGGGCCUUGCGCUAUCAGAUGAGCCUAGGUCGGAUUAGCUAGUUGGUGAGGUAAUGGCUCACCAAGGCGACGAUCCGUAACUGGUCUGAGAGGAUGAUCAGUCACACUGGAACUGAGACACGGUCCAGACUCCUACGGGAGGCAGCAGUGGGGAAUAUUGGACAAUGGGCGAAAGCCUGAUCCAGCCAUGCCGCGUGUGUGAAGAAGGUCUUCGGAUUGUAAAGCACUUUAAGUUGGGAGGAAGGGCAUUUACCUAAUACGUAAGUGUUUUGACGUUACCGACAGAAUAAGCACCGGCUAACUCUGUGCCAGCAGCCGCGGUAAUACAGAGGGUGCAAGCGUUAAUCGGAAUUACUGGGCGUAAAGCGCGCGUAGGUGGUUUGUUAAGUUGAAUGUGAAAUCCCCGGGCUCAACCUGGGAACUGCAUCCAAAACUGGCAAGCUAGAGUAU
rnacentral:rRNA from 1 species